AUCGAUUAAAUCUAGUCCUAAGAACUUCAUCACAACACAGGAGUUCAAAGAAGAUGGACAAAAUAUGAUGAAAAAAUCAAAUAAUUUUUAUUAAUAAAAAUUUAUAUAUAAUUUAUAAAUAUGAGCACAAUCGUCAACAGACUGAUGAUUGGCUUUGGGAUACAAUUUUCAAUAACUCUCAUUUGGAUUAAAGCCAAUUGGUAUAGUAUCGUAUAUCCAUCUUCAACUUGUGAUCAUCAAACUCUUUGAUUUUGAGAGUUUUAGUAAAUGGGUCGGCUAGGUUCUCCUUCCCAUCAAUUUUUUGAAGGUCGACGUCACCUCAUCCAUGAUCUCUUAGAUA
rnacentral:lncRNA from 1 species